CGCCUUUAGCACCCCCCCCCAGUAUUAAAGGUCUCGCCUGCCCAGUGAAACCCAUUUAACGGCCGCGGUACCCUAACCGUGCAAAGGUAGCAUAAUCACUUGCCCCUUAAUUAGGGGCCGGAAUGAACGGCUAACUGAGGAUAUCCCUGUCUCUUAGAGCAAAAUAAUGAACUUGAUCUUCUAGUACAAAAGCUAGAAUACCCACAUAAGACGAGAAGACCCUGUGGAGCUUACAACGCCUGUCGCUAACAGAACCUCCAGCCUAGCGACAACUUUCAGUUGGGGCAACUAUGGAGCAAAACAAAACCUCCACGCACAGACUUAACUUCCCCCAGGCCAACCAGCCAAACCUCCACCCAGACCCAGUACCACUGACCACCGAACCAAGUUACCCCAGGGAUAACAGCGCCAUCCUCUUCAAGAGCCCGUAUCGUCAAGAGGGCUUACGACCUCGAUGUUGGAUCAGGACACCCCCGUGGCGCAGCCGCUACUAAAGGUCCGUUUGUUCAACGGUUAAUGUCCU
rnacentral:rRNA from 1 species